CUUUUUGUGCGCCUUGUUAAAGAAACAUUCUUCGUCACACAAUGGGAAAAGUAGUACGAAAUUAGGGGACGGUGUUCUUCCAUGCCCUGUUACAGGAAAGAACUUUAUGGUAUAGAUGGAGCCUUUGCUUGGAGACAGAUAAGUACAGCUACUACCUCUCAUCAAAGAAGUCUCUCUUUACAGUAAAUGGAGACCAUCACAGAAAACCACAACUUGAUACGAUGCAGAGGUCAAUGGAUUGUUAAGUUCAGCUCCAAUGGUUACAGCUACCUCAGAGCUCCUUCAUCUACUACAGCUUAGAGAACACAGAGGAAGAUGGAGCAACACCAAGAAGCUGCUGUGAAAGUCUCUUUGAAAUAGACAAGAUUGGAAUGGCAACAUUCAUGGGCCAUGCCAAUGUGGAGGAGGAAACUUUUUGAAGGGUUCUAUACCUAGACAAAAAACUAUAGACAAGUAAUGAUGGCUGAUAGGAUUUGCUUCUCCCUGGGAUGAGCCUCCAUAUUGGCUGGUGUGGUGGCUUAAGAAUGGCCUGGCCUCUACAGGCUCAUCUAAUUGAAUGCUUGGUUACCAGGGAGUGUCAAUAUUGGAAAAAAAAUUAAGUGGUCUGGACUUGUUGGAGGAAAUGUGCCACUUGGAGUGGGUUUUGAGUUUUCAAAAGUGCAUGCCAGCAGUCUCUUCCUCUCCGCCUAUAAAUCAGGAUGUAGAACUCAGCUACUUUUAUAGCACUCUAUCUGUCUGCAUGCACCCAUGCUCCCUGCCAUGAUGAUAUGGACUAACUUCUGAAAUUGUAAACAAGCCUCAACUAAAUGCUUUGUUUUAUA